CCCCAUAAACCUAAAUACUUGAACGGGACCAACUCCCAUUUGAUCUUGGAAGCUAAGCAAGGUCAGUCCUAGUAAGAACUUGAAUAGGAGACCACAAAGGAAUUCUAGAUACUGUUGGCU
rnacentral:rRNA from 11 species